rnacentral:piRNA from 1 species
UGAGCAUAUUAAAAGAUUUUAAUGUAAGGA